ACCAACCUUAACGCCUAUGCAUUUUGAGCAGUUGAUUUGACUGAUGAUCGUACAGAUCGGAUUACAUAGGUAGGCACAAAUGUGCUCUUUGUUAUUAUUAUUAAAUAUUUACGUGCCGGUUCGUCGGGCGAAACUUGUUUAGAAAUGAAAUUUGCUGUGACUUCACUUGCUUUGACAUUGACUUUGUCCCAAUAAAACUAAAGUACACAUAUAUAUAGCAGAGAUAUUUUCUAACAUACAUACACAUUUUACUGAUAUGCUCAGUGGAAGUGAUUGAACUGAAUGUAAACAAACUGGAAUGGGAGAAUGCUUUUGAGCUGGGCUUUCGACAUGGAUAACCGUAACUAUAAUGGGGUAAAAUUUAGGGAUGUUGCUGCCUUCGUCCUCCAUGAAGUCGGAGAUUAGAGCUUUUUUUGAUUAAUGGACAAGACCACCUAACGGCAUGAUAACUGAAUGAUGUAAUGAUUUUCAAAACACAAAAAAGUAAAAAAAUGCAUAAAUCCACGUGAGACAGACCUUCCGUUAUCUGAAACACAAAACCGAAGACAAUUUUUAACGUUUGAUAAAUCAUCUAUAGCGUCAAGUAGCAAUUUUUGCGGGAAAAUUGUGCGAAAUCAGGAGCACCUUGAAGUUUUCUACAAAAAUGAAUAAAACAAUUGCAUAUCAACCAAUUGAAAAGUUAAGCUACAAGUAACUUAGCAAAGUAGCAAAGAAAACAUGUACUAUUUUUAAGAUAAAUCCAUUGAAAACUUUAAAAAAUGUGGUUUUGUGCAAAACGAAGAAGUAAUAAAGAAAAUCCUUCUGCGCACUCCGCAGUCCUGUCUUAUAAUAAUGGUAACUUUCUAAGUAUUUUCAUCGGAAAUAUCUUGAAAUAUUCCUAAGAGUGCUCUUAAGCUUAAAAUCAAUUUCCAUCAAAAUUCUUCCCAU